UGUGAAGAGGAGACGAGGAAAUAAUUAUAAAUAAAAGAGAGAGGUGCAAAGCAUAGGAGAGACAAAACGGUGAGUAUUACCAGAAAGAGAAACAAAGAGAAAGUUGAAAAUGGCCUUUCACCGGCCAAAACCAAAAGCCUCAAUGCCUGCAUAACCAACCAAUCAAAGUUUCCAUUUUGGAACCUCAGAGAGUGAGACAAAGCUGCAAGGAAGGGUUUUGUGAUUGAUUCUGCAAUGGAGAAACAGGUACCUGUUCACCUCUCCUUUGAUAGAUGAGAAUGAGAGUGAGCAGUACAAUGUAGCUCUCUCUGUCUCUCCCAUUGCGUCCAAAAAGGCAGACAGGAUGGAGCCAGGCAUCAACAUUAUAUCAAAAUAUCAUUUUUAUAAAUACUAUCACUAUCUCUAUAUUUUCCUCCAAAUAUAUCAUUUUUUUUUCCUUCUUUCUGUUUUUGGGUUUUCAUCAAAAGCUGCUGCGACAGCCCCCUUUCUCUCUCAUUUUUAUGCUUUUUCUUUGUGAGAUUUCAAGGAUCAUGCCUUUUCUCUUUCUAAUGUCUAUGCAUCCUUAAGGUUCUACUCUUUCUCGUUACCAA